UGGGGAAUAUUGGACAAUGGGCGCAAGCCUGAUCCAGCCAUGCCGCGUGUUUGAAGAAGGCCUUUUGGUUGUAAAGCACUUUAAGCGAGGAGGAGGCUACUUGGAUUAAUACUCUAGGAUAGUGGACGUUACUCGCAGAAUAAGCACCGGCUAACUCUGUGCCAUCAGCCGCGGUAAUACAGAGGGUGCGAGCGUUAAUCGGAUUUACUGGGCGUAAAGCGUGCGUAGGCGGCUUUUUAAGUCGGAUGUGAAAUCCCUGAGCUUAACUUAGGAAUUGCAUUCGAUACUGGGAAGCUAGAGUAUGGGAGAGGAUGGUAGAAUUCCAGGUGUAGCGGUGAAAUGCGUAGAGAUCUGGAGGAAUACCGAUGGAGAAGGCAGCCAUCUGGCCUAAUACUGACGCUGAGGUACGAAAGCAUGGGGAGCAAACAGG
rnacentral:rRNA from 1 species